rnacentral:rRNA from 1 species
GAUGAACGCUAGCUACAGGCUUAACACAUGCAAGUCGAGGGGCAGCAUGGUCUUAGCUUGCUAAGGCCGAUGGCGACCGGCGCACGGGUGAGUAACACGUAUCCAACCUGCCGUCUACUCUUGGACAGCCUUCUGAAAGGAAGAUUAAUACAAGAUGGCAUCAUGAGUUCACAUGUUCACAUGAUUAAAGGUAUUCCGGUAGACGAUGGGGAUGCGUUCCAUUAGAUAGUAGGCGGGGUAACGGCCCACCUAGGCGACGAUCAGUAGCCGGACUGAGAGGAUGAACGGCCACAUUGGGACUGAGACACGGCCCAG